CCAGCGCGGGCCAGGGGCGCAGCAACAGCCGCUCCAGCGCCUUCCCGCCGCCGCAGCCCAGCCGCAGCGCCGCCGCCAUCUUGCUUCUCCUCACACGGAGGCUGCCCCUCUCACUGCCUGAGAAGAAGUCCCCUAUCUCGGGUUUGCCCUCCUCACUGCCUGAGCUUGCCUGAGCUGCCCCCGGCGAGCGCCUGGCCCAGCGGACAGCCCGCCUGCAGCACCAGCCUGGCGUCAGCGCGAGCCUGACUGCUUCUGUCGUCUCGGGUACAAACACACGCCUUCCUCAGCCCUGACUGCCUCUCGUCUCCGACAGCUACCACUACUGGCCUCUUCGCGCCCCCUCGAUGUCAGUGGCAGGGGAAGUUGGUCCCUCCAUCCCACCCGGGGCAGGGCCCGCGCAACAGAGUAUCGCUCGGGUUGAUGUCCCGGCGACAGAAGUAAACAGGCGAUAGCGGCAAGCCCCCGUGCCGCCCCGCUGAAAAGACCCUGCGCUGCCUCCGUGAAGGGACCCCCGCGCGGCGCCUGAGGAAGGCCCCUGUGCUGCGCGUCCGCCGGGUGCCAUGGCGGCGGCCGCCACCGACCGCCACGCCGCGCAGGAGAAGUUACAUCCAAGAAACCUCAUCCCAGAGCUUUGUAGACUCUUUUAUGAUUUAGGCUGGGUAACAGGAACUGGUGGAGGAAUCAGCUUGAAACAUGGGGAUGAAAUCUACAUUGCACCUUCAGGAGUCCAAAAGGAAAGAAUCCAGCCAGAAGACAUGUUUGUUUGUGACAUGAACGAACAGGACAUCAGUUCUCCUCCACCACACAAGAAACUGAAGAAAAGCCAAUGCACACCUCUCUUUAUGAACGCCUACACCAUGAGAGGGGCAGGUGCAGUGAUCCACACUCACUCCAAGGCUGCUGUCAUGGCCACCCUGCUUUACCCAGGGAGUGAGUUCAGCAUUACCCAUCAGGAGAUGAUAAAAGGAAUCCAGAAGUGUGCUUCGGGAGGCUAUUACCGGUAUGAUGAUACGCUAGUGGUUCCCAUUAUUGAGAAUACACCAGAAGAGAAGGAUCUCAAGGAAAGAAUGGCACGUGCAAUGGAAAAAUACCCAGACACUUGUGCUGUGCUGGUCAGACGUCACGGAGUCUAUGUAUGGGGACAAACAUGGGAGAAAGCCAAAACAAUGUGUGAGUGUUAUGAUUACUUGUUUGAUAUUGCAGUGCAGAUGAAGCAGCAUGGCUUGGAUCCUUCAAAACAUCCAGCAGGCGAGAAUGGAAUUGUGUAAAUGGCAACAACAUUGAUACUCAGGAUAAGCCAACUUGCACAGAGUUGGCCCAUCAGAAGAGAUGACAAAUGGCUGCUCAGGCAGCAUGAGCCCAGAGCAGACAGGUGCUUGGAUCAUGGCCCUCUGUGCCCACAGGAACCACUGCAGAUGAGAAGGUUUCUUCCAUGAUGAUGAAAGUUGGGGAUUGUGCCUUGGACUGUUUGAAGCCAGCAGGGGGUGCUGGUGAACUCGGCUGAUUGAGAUGUCGGCAGUCAGGUUUGACUGUGAAACACAGAAGAAGAAAAAGAGAGUUAAAACAAGACAGAAAAACUGCUGAGCAGUCAUUGCCAUUUAUGAAUCAUGUCUAAUGCCACACUAGGAGGAAUGAAAAUUUGGGUUCAAAAAAGGGUUUUGAAAAAAGCUUCAGAGAAUUAAUGUGACAUUUUAAAAUGCUUUGAAAGUUCAUAUUUCAAACAACCUGCAUUUGUGGAUCCUGCUCUACUGAUACAUCAUUGUUCUAUGUGUCUUUUUCUGAAAGUUAUAGUAGCCUUUAUUCUUGGGAAGAAAGUGAGCAUGACCCUUUAGUUAGAAGUUAGGUUUAAAGUUUAAAUUUGUUUGAACUGGUGAUUCAUUCAUGCUAAUAGCAUUUGUUUUUGGGUUUUUUUGUUAAGCCUGUAACAUGUAUUUUUCAAUUAUCUUAAUUGUUAUUAUAGUGAGGAGGGAAAGCAUAAUUUUCUAGUUUGCAUUCAGAAGUCUUUGCUGAGAGACUGCUCUGGUUCUUGUCUGCUUAUGUUCUCUUGAAACUCAAUCACUGUCAGUAAGAGUUUGUUUAUUAAAACUUUCAUACAGCUUUUUAUGACCUAUGAUUAGCCGGCCUAAAGUAGAUUUAAUCAAACUGCUCAUUAAAAUACAGUCUCAUAAAUAUA